UGAUCGUUGGGUGCGGCGAGAUCCGAUGAACCUGGUCAGGGGGGAAACCCAGCAGCCAUAAGUUGUGUAUUUUGGGUGUAUCCAACGAUCUUUA
rnacentral:SRP_RNA from 2 species